GCCCUACGGGGCGCAGCAGUGGGGAAUAUUGGGCAAUGGAGGAAACUCUGACCCAGCAAUGCCGCGUGAAUGAAGAAGGUCUUCGGAUUGUAAAGUUCUUUAGUCAGGGAAGAAGUCAAUGACGGUACCUGAAGAAUAAGCUCCGGCUAACUACGUGCCAGCAGCCGCGGUAAUACGUAGGUGGCAAGCGUUGUCCGGAUUUACUGGGUGUAAAGGGCGUGUAGCCGGGAAGGCAAGUCAGAUGUGAAAUCCGGAGGCUCAACCUCCGAAUUGCAUUUGAAACUGUUUUUCUUGAGUACUGGAGG
rnacentral:rRNA from 1 species